CUCCAGACUCCUACGGGAGGCAGCAGUGGGGAAUAUUGGGCAAUGGGCGCAAGCCUGACCCAGCAACGCCGCGUGAAGGAAGAAGGCUUUCGGGUUGUAAACUUCUUUUCUGAGGGACGAAGAAAGUGACGGUACCUCAGGAAUAAGCCACGGCUAACUACGUGCCAGCAGCCGCGGUAAUACGUAGGUGGCAAGCGUUAUCCGGAUUUAUUGGGUGUAAAGGGCGUGUAGGCGGGAAAGCAAGUCAGAUGUGAAAACUCAGGGCUCAACCCUGAGCCUGCAUUUGAAACUGUUUUUCUUGAGUGCUGGAGAGGCAAUCGGAAUUCCGUGUGUAGCGGUGAAAUGCGUAGAUAUUAGGAGGAACACCAGUGGCGAAGGCGGCUUGCUGGACUGUAACUGACGUUGAGGCUCGAAAGCGUGGGGAGCAAACAGGAUUAGAUACCCGUGUAAC
rnacentral:rRNA from 1 species